rnacentral:rRNA from 1 species
UACGUAGGGGGCGAGCGUUGUCCGGAGUACUGGGCGUAAAGCGCACGCAGGCGGUCUGCUAAGUUUGGAGUGACAGUUGGUGGCUUAACUGCCAAAGUGCUUCGAAAACUGACAGACUUGAGGGCUUCAGAGGGACACGGAAUUCCGGGUGGAGUGGUGAAAUGCGUAGAGAUCGGAAAGAACACCAACGGCGAAAGCACUCUGCUGGGCCGACACUGACACUGAGAGACGAAAGCUAGGGGGAGCGAAUGGG